CGGGGGCCGGAAUGGACGGAAUUGGCUCGUGACCCCGGUCAGGUCCGAAAGGAAGCAGCCGUAGCGUGUUCAACCGGGUCAGGCCGGCCUUCCAUU
rnacentral:SRP_RNA from 1 species